UACGUAGGGGGGCAAGCGUUGUCCGGAAUCAUUGGGCGUAAAGCGCGUGUAGGCGGUUCGGUAAGUCUGCUGUGAAAGUCCAGGGCUCAACCCUGGGGAUGCCGGUGGAUACUGUCGAACUAGAGUACGGAAGAGGCGAGUGGAAUUCCCGGUGUAGCGGUGAAAUGCGCAGAUAUCAGGAAGAACACCCGUGGCGAAGGCGGCUCUCUGGGACGGUACUGACGCUGAGACGCGAAAGCGUGGGGAGCGAACGG
rnacentral:rRNA from 1 species